rnacentral:lncRNA from 1 species
CAGAACAAUAUACAAAUACUUAUAUAAAACUGUCCACAAAAAUUGUGCAGCAGAACAAAGUUGUGCAGCAUCAUUCGCAACUAGUGCAUCACCAACAAAAAGGACCAGAUCUGGAGCUAAACCAUAGAGAAACUGCAUAGCUACUGACAGUGACAAAUAGCUCCAAAAUACUACACUGAAAUGAACAAGAAAAACAGUAAAAUUGGAUCCUGAGUAUUGCACCUGGGUUUGAUAAAAAAUUUGCAAUGAAGAUAAAAUGAGCAAAAAAGAACAAGAAGAAUCUGCAAUUAAGAUAAAAAAAAGAAAAAAAGCAAAAUGUAAAAUUAAAUCAUAAAUGAGUAUUGCACUUGGGUUUGAAUCACUAUCAUCAUUAUCUACACUUGGAUCCUGAGUAGCAUCAUCAUUUGAUGCUCCAGUUCUACAUUGAAACAAAUAGCAAAGUAAAAUUUAAACCAAUACCAAAGUCAAUUUUAAACAUAUAGCAAAGUCAAAAUAAGUAAACUUGCUUACAGAUUAUUAAGUUUCGGACAGUUUCUUUUAUCGUGUGUCACACCAACUUUGUUACACGCAUGACAACGUCUACUCUUGGCACUUUUUGCUUUCCCCAAAACCCUUUCUUUGCCACCCUUCAGCCUUUUGCCACACCCUUUUGCUCGCACGUGGUUCGGCUCAAUGUAACUAUGUUCAUUAGUAGAAGCCCUGUUAACUGACUUGGAUACACUAAUUCCACCCAUUUCCAUGUCCUUGUUUCUUUCGGAAUCAUUCUUCCCAAUAAUUUGCCUUAUCUGUUCAUAUCCAUUAUCUAACCAUUCUUUAAAUACAUUUAUGGCAUCUUCAUUUGUGAGAGCACUAUCAAUCAAAUCUAAAGAACGUUGAAUCAAUUGACUCCGCAAGAGUAAGUAUGACUUGUCAUCCUUUAUCGCCACACCAUUAUCAUCAAUUACACCACUUGCUUUUGAUGUCUUUGUCCACCUCUUCAAAAUAUAUUUUGUAGGCAAAUUAUCAUGAUCAUGAUACUUAUUCAAGUAAGCUAGUACAUGCCGACAUAGUAUUCCCAAACUCUCAAACUUUUUGCAAGUGCAUGUUGCAUAAUCCCAAGAUUUGUCAUAAUGAAUUUCUCUUACAUUACACUUGUUGACAUUCCUUCGGCAAAUCUUAUAUACAUUGUAGUUGACAUCCUCCUUCAUAAGUUCAAACUUAUAAUUGAAGCUCUCACACAACUCAUUUUCAAAUUUAUAAUACAUAAGAGUAUGUAUAAAUGUCAACCAUUUGACUUUAGAAGUGAUUGGAAAUUUUCAUUUUUGGUUUCUCAAUUAAAUCUUUGUUAUCUGAUUCCAACUCUGCAUGUCGUUGAUGUUGAAUGCCCCGGCCAAAUUGAAUCAUAAACUCCACUAAUGAAUUUCCUUUAGAAACAAAUCUUUUGAAAAAUGCAUGACAACUCUCCGCUCGUUGGCUACUUGACAUGCCAGCUGAGAAAACAUGAUUCACAUGUGCAGGUACCCAUCUACAACGGAUGACAUACAUUGAUUGAAGCCAUUUAUUAGUAGUCAACCCAUUUUUCUCCACGAGCUCCACCCAAGUGGAGUCAAACUUUUCCACAGACUCGGAAUUCCAAAUGCAAUCUGAAAACUCUUUAUAAUAAGUACUAUAUUUUACUGAAUCAAUCUUCUCUGAAAAUUUGGUCAAAAUGUGCCAACUACAAUACCUAUGAAAUGUCUUAGGAAGCAUCUGUGAAAUGGCAUUUGUCAUAGCCGGAUCCUGAUCAGUGAUAAUCAUCUUAGGUGCAUCACCUGGCAUUGCUUCCAAAAUACACUUGAAAAGCCAAACAAAGGUGUCUAUGGUCUCAUCACUUAAGAAAUCACAACCAAAUACAAUAGUUUGACCGUGGUUAUUAACCCCCAUCAGUGGUGCAAAUAUCAUUCCGUAACGAUUAGUGUUGUACGUGGAAUCAAAAAUGACAUCAUCGCCGUAAAAUUUAUAAGCCCGUCUAAAAGUUGCAUCGGCCCAAAAACAACGAGUAACCCUUUUUUCAUCGUCUGUGUCAAUUGUAAAAGUGAAUGACGGAUUCUUUUGUUGUUCUAACUUGAAGUAAUCAUUCAACAUAUCGUCAUCUUGUCCCUUCAACUCAUUACGACUGUAUCUUUCAAAGUUAUACAAAUCUUGUUGCGUGCAACCAAUAUUUUCAAUCCCUCCCGCCUGCAAUGCAAGAAAGUUGUAUUGUUGGCAUUGUGGUAUAUUCACCAUGCCAAGUUGUUGAGCCAAACAUUUUUGGGUGGCUGACACAUUACGGUGCGAACGUAAUAGAUGCCUCUUAUGUGGGGUUGACAAUGGCCCUCCUCAGCUAUGGUAACUACAUACAACUCAUUUCUUUUAACCACUACAAUUCUUGCACUACAACCUUCUUUGAUAGAUCCACGUUUUCUUUUUGCAUCCACAUCGGCUAAUAGUUUGCCUUUUCCUUGCUUAUAACACACAUACUGCUUCCUACAAAUCUCACCGCUUCCCUCUUUUCUUUUCUCAGUAUGCUUUCGCACACUAAAACCAGCAUGCAUUGCAUAUGUAUUGUAAAAAGUGUGAACGUCGUCUAAUGUUUGAAAUGCUUGACCUAGCUUAGGCGUAAACUCAUCGGCUACUUGAGGAUAGUAGAGUCUAGUUUUACCAUUGUUCACAUCCAACCCAUCUUCACUCAAGUCAUCCCUCUCCAUGACCAUUUCAAUUUCAAAAUUGUUAAUGCAGUCUAAAUUCAGUUCUGCAUUAUCCCCACAACUAUCUAUUUCAUGGUUCAUGCCUUCCAUUAGUAAAAAUCCUGCCCAAAAAAAAUUAAAUAGAAUGACAGUAAACAAUAAUCAGAAUAGAUUAUCAAAUAUUGUACAAUAAUAACUACUCACAUUUAUAUAGAAAUUUAGUUCAGCUUAAAAUUUUAAAAAAUAACUAUUCUGCACAAUUCUGCAGUCACUACACAAUUUUGCAGUUUGGUGUGAAGUGGCACAUAAAUCACUUUUAUAUUGGUGUUGUGGUUGUGAUUUUUGAACUUAACUUUCAGACAUUCUUAUAAAUAUAACUAUCACCAAAUACAAGGAACGUAUUGAAAAAAAAAAUGUUAAAACAAGAUAUCUGACAACAAUGAAACAGAUGGUAAAAGGAACGUAUUUGGGGCGCGAGGCUUUGGGGCCAUUUCAGAAUAAAUCGAACUAUGUAAUACAGUUAGGAUCGAUAAUUGUUAGAGAGAUAGAAGACAAACCUGGAAAUUAGGGCUUUGAGAUUUGGGGCGAGAAGCGAGAGAAUCUGACCCAGGAGAGAUUCUGAAGUUCGUGAGAAGUGAGAUCAGGAGAGCUUGAGAGGAGAGCUUGAGUGGCGAGAGCAGAGAGCGAGAGAAGUGAGAUCGAGAGAGUUUGGGAGUCUGAAUGGUGAGGAGAGAGAAAAAAUAGACUUUUUAUAGGUGAGCUUGGAUGAGCCUUUUGGGGAUGAGCCUAAGAUCCUUAUUAUAUAUAUAUAUAUAUAUAGAGUCCGGAUCCAGUCCGGGAUCCCGAACGCUAUAAAAUACGGACCAUUUUUUUAUUUUAUUUUUUUGCUUUUAUUUUUUUGAAACUAAAAAAAAAAUAAAAUUAUGGAACUGGAAUUUUUACAUAAUACAGUAUUUUGGGUGUGAUUG